CACCGGCAGACGACGUCAAAAGCUACGGUAGCCUAUACACUAAGGGAAAAGAGGGGUAGCGCGGGAGGGAAACGUUAGAUAUUAAUAAGUAUAAUUUAAUAUAUGUGUUAACCCUUAAAUGUCUAUAUAAAUGGACUGCUGGAUUUAUCAAUAGCUGUCUGCUGCAGAAAUAGUUUUUAAGAAUAUAGCCUUGUAGCCUAAUUAUUGCAGAAAUUUUACUAUUCUAACAGACAGGGCAGUACUCAGAGAGUGACUGACUGGCUUUACCGGAUUUGCCAAGAGUCGUGACGAGAGGAUAUAGCAAAUAACGUAUCACCAAGGCACCGGGUUAAGACGUGAGACCUUAACGGGAGCAGCAACUCCACUGAUCUGUUACGGAUUCGAAACCGGGAGAGGGAGCGAUUGGCACAAAGAGCGGAGAACGAAUCGCAUUGAGCCUACUAUUCCCGGAGGGAGGGUAACAGGAGACGCGCACUGAAGACAACAACGCCACGGCAAAACGUGGAAAAAUAAACAAAAUCAUCUCAAAUUACCCUGGGAAUUAUUUUACAACGAGGAGUGAAGGAUCUCUUGAAAUCGGGGCUCCGAACACUCUCACGUCCUAAAGCUCUGGUCGCUCCUCUCCAGAGGACCACGACUCUGCUCGCACUCACCCCGCUCUUCUCACCUCGAACCCCGCAGAGCGCCUGUCGUUCUCCCCACUGUGUUCUGAUGAAGGAAGCCGACGCGAUCAAGCUGUUCGUGGGGCAGAUUCCUCGGAAUCUAGAGGAGAAGGACCUCAAACCGAUCUUUGAACAGUUCGGGAAGAUCUACGAGCUGACGGUGAUAAAGGACAAAUACACCGGCAUGCACAAAGGAUGUGCAUUCCUGACAUACUGUGCGAGGGAGUCAGCGCUGAAGGCCCAGAGUGCUUUGCAUGAGCAGAAGACGCUACCGGGGAUGAACCGACCCAUCCAGGUAAAACCAGCCGACAGCGAGGGGAGAGGAGAAGACAGGAAGUUGUUUGUGGGCAUGCUGGGUAAACAGCAGAGUGAUGAAGACGUCAAGAGGCUGUUUGAGCCCUUUGGCACUAUAGACGAGUGUACUGUACUACGGGGGCCAGACGGCACCAGUAAAGGUUGUGCGUUUGUGAAGUACCAGGGACAUGCUGAAGCUCAGGCUGCCAUUAGCACCCUGCAUGGGAGCCGCACACUGCCUGGUGCGUCGUCCAGUCUGGUGGUGAAGUUUGCAGACACAGAGAAGGAGAGAGGGCUGAGACGGAUGCAGCAGGUGGCAUCACAGCUGGGCAUCUUCAGCCCCACCAUGACACUUAACUUCCCUGCUUACAACGCUUACACACAGGCCGUCAGCGCACAGGCGAUUGUCCAGCAGCAAGCUCUGGUUGCUCAGUCAGCGUACCUGUCUCCUGUAGCAACUGUUGCCAGUUUACAGAUGCAGCAGCUGGCAGCGCUCAACGCAAAUGGAAUCAUCGCCACGCCCAUCACAUCUUCCUCUGAGUCUAGUAGCUGUCAAUCACAAUAUCUCCUCCACUGUGAUUGGUCCUCCCGGUUUGCAGGUACGAAUACCCCUCCAACCAUCUCAGCCACGCCCGUGCCAUCACUACCUCCACCUCUAGGAGUCAAUGGUUACAGUCCACCAACCAAUGGACAGCAAGCAUCAGAAGCACUAUACACCAAUGGCAUUCAUGCAUACCAAGCCCAGAGUCCAGCAUUAUCUCUAGAUCCUCUCCAGCAGGCGUAUGCAGGCAUGCAGCACUACACAGCGGCGUACCCUGCUGCCUAUGGAUUGGUCGGCCAGCAUUUUCCACAGCAACCUACCCUGGUUGCCCAGCAACACCAGCAGCCCCAGCAACAGCAGCAGCGAGAAGGGCCGGAGGGUUGUAAUAUCUUUAUCUACCACCUGCCUCAGGAGUUCAGUGACAGUGAGAUGCUCCAGAUGUUUCUGCCCUUUGGAAACGUCAUCUCAGCUAAAGUCUUUGUAGACCGCGCCACCAACCAGAGCAAGUGCUUCGGUUUUGUGAGUUUUGACAACCCAUCCAGUGCCCAGACUGCCAUCCAGGCUAUGAAUGGGUUCCAGAUCGGCAUGAAGAGACUCAAGGUGCAGCUGAAACGACCUAAAGACGCCAACCGCCCCUACUGAAGGAGAGAGAUCCUCCCGUCCAAUCAUAAUUCGCGGGGAUCCCAUCACUAUGGUUACCUAGCGACCGAUAAAGCCCCGACCCCCCUUCCUCUCACGUGUUACUCUGGCCAUGGUGGAAUCCCAGCGUGCAUUGCGCCCUCAGACCUACUACCUUUCUUUUGAGCGACGGGGAACAGCACACACACAAACACCACACACACACACAAAUACCACACACACACACACACACACACACACACACACACACACACACACACACACACACACACACACACACACACACACGCACACACGCACACACACACACACACACACACACCACACACACAUUGCACUCUAAAAGGACCAAGGCACAGAUAUUGACCAAUGUACAUAUUAUAGUCCUCACACACACAAACACUCACAUACUUUCAAAUACAUAUAUGUCAGUAAUCGUACCCAUUGAACUGGACUCAGUUUGAAAAUGGUUUGUGAGGAGUUUGUCUGGAGUGUGUAGGGCAGUGAAGAUCACAUACAUACACGACCCAGGAAGUACAUACUAAAGUCAUUGAUGAGAUGAUGAAUAAUGGUGAUAUAUCACUUCUUUGGACCAUAACAUGUCAUAUUACAUGGCUAUUACAUGUGUAUAACAUGAUACAAAUAGGAAGGCCUCCAUUUCGUAAUAAAAAAAAGGAAAACAGGAAAAAAUAUUGAGACAAAAAUGAGUAAUUUAGAGAAACUUUGGAGAGAGAUCCUUAUGGCCUGUAAAUAAUUUACUUUAAGAAGAGUAACGUUUAGAAAAUUACAAAAAAAUGCAAAAAGAGAGUACUUUAGAUAAACCACUGAAAAAUGACACAAUAUUAUUAUUAUUAUUGUUUUUAUGAUUAUUAUCUUCGUUAGGGGAUAUUGUAUUAGAAAUAAAGAAAGGGGAGAAUCACAAACAUAUUUUCAAUUUCUACUUAGAUUUUAGGAUAAAUGUGGGUGGGAGGGACUGCACCUUUUCUGAGAGGUUUUAAUAUUUUAACAAUUUUUUAUUUAUUGACUAAUUUAUCAAUUAUUUUUGUUAAUAGGGAGAAAUGAUGAAGGGUUUAAAGGGGAAACGAGUUUCUGAUUUUAGAAUUUUUUAGAGCAAAAAAGGGUCUGUUUCUGUCAGACUCUGUCAGAGUAAUUAUAAUUAUGAAUGAAUUAUUACAACAAUGAUAUUUAUUUCUUAUUUAUUGAGUCUGUUUUUGAUCCAAUCUCUUUUUAAGUUAAAAUAAAAAGUAUUAUACAUCAAA